GAUGAACGCUGGCGGCGUGCUUAACACAUGCAAGUCGAACGAAGCACCUUGAUUCGAUUCUUCGGAUGAAGAUCUUGGUGACUGAGUGGCGGACGGGUGAGUAACGCGUGGGUAACCUGCCUCAUACAGGGGGAUAACAGUUAGAAAUGACUGCUAAUACCGCAUAAGACCACAGCACCGCAUGGUGCAGGGGUAAAAACUCCGGUGGUAUGAGAUGGACCCGCGUCUGAUUAGGUAGUUGGUGGGGUAACGGCCUACCAAGCCGACGAUCAGUAGCCGACCUGAGAGGGUGACCGGCCACAUUGGGACUGAGACACGGCCCAAACUCCUACGGGAGGCAGCAGUGGGGAAUAUUGCACAAUGGGGGAAACCCUGAUGCAGCGACGCCGCGUGAGCGAUGAAGUAUUUCGGUAUGUAAAGCUCUAUCAGCAGGGAAGAAAAUGACGGUACCUGACUAAGAAGCACCGGCUAAAUACGU
rnacentral:rRNA from 1 species